rnacentral:pre_miRNA from 1 species
UUUCAAAGCAGCAGCACAGCAUGGAGCCCAGGGUCAGCAGGGGACUCUGAAUCCUCCGCUGAUCCUAGGCUCCAUGCUGGCGCUUCUGCUUUGAAA